GAACGUCUUCAGGGCGGGGUGCGAUUCCCCACCGGCGGUAUGCAUGCGCAAGCGUGUGAGCCCGCGAGCGCUUCGCUGCCGAUCUCUCGCUGAGAGCACGGCGGUGAAGGUCAGCAGAUCCGGUGCGAUGCCGGGGCCGACGGUAUAGUCCGGAUGAAAGAAGACGGCC
rnacentral:ncRNA from 22 species